GAUGAACGCUGGCGGCGUGCCUAAUACAUGCAAGUCGAGCGAACAGACGAGGAGCUUGCUCCUCUGACGUUAGCGGCGGACGGGUGAGUAACACGUGGAUAACCUACCUAUAAGACUGGGCUAACGUCGGGAAACCGGAGCUAAUACCGGAUAAUAUAUUGAACCGCAUGGUUCAAUAGUGAAAGACGGUUUUGCUGUCACUUAUAGAUGGAUCCGCGCCGCAUUAGCUAGUUGGUAAGGUAACGGCUUACCAAGGCAACGAUGCGUAGCCGACCUGAGAGGGUGAGCGGCCACACUGGAACUGAGACACGGUCCAGACUCCUACGGGAGGCAGCAGUAGGGAAUCUUCCGCAAGGGGCGAAAGCUUGACGGAGCAACGCCGCGUGAGUGAUGAAGGUCUUCGGAUCGUAAAACUCUGUUAUUAGGGAAGAACAAACGGGUAAGUAACUAUGCACGUCUUGACGGUACCUAAUCAGAAAGCCACGGCUAACUACGUG
rnacentral:rRNA from 1 species